AUGCUGCUGGAGGAGCUGCUCCGCUGCCAGAUCCAGGAGUGGUACCCGGCGUUCCGGCGCCACACGGUCCCCACCGCCAUCAUCCCGCUCCCGGCCGCCUUCCUCCGCUACCUCGCCGGCCGGACCGCCUACCCCGGCCCCGACGGCCCCGACGAGGGCGAGCAGGGGCCGCUCCCCUUCGUGCCCCCGACGCUCACCUCCGGCCGCGCGCCCUUCCCGCCGCUCCAGGGCCACUUCCCGGACCCCGUCUCCCUCCUCGAUCGCGACAACACCGACCCCCUCUUCGGCGGCUCCGGCUCCGACUCCGACGAUGACGAGGGCCUGCCCCCGCCCGCGUUCCCGGAGCUCGAGGCCGCGGUGGACGCCGCCAUCGCCGGCCUCGGCGGCGCCGCGCUCCCCAAGCUCAACUGGAGCGCGCCCAAGGACGCCGUCUUCAUGGCCGCCGACGGCACCGUCCGCUGCACCUGCUUCGCCGAGGUCGCCAUGCUGCUCCGCGCCUCCGACUGCGUCGCCCACGACCUCGUCUCCGCGCGCCGCUCCUGCCACGACUUCCUGCGCGCCAAGCCUGUUCGACGGAAUGCCGCAGAGGGCGGUCUGAGUGAUCCUGGUGAGAAUUGCAGCGAUGGAGGUGCCCGUGGCGGUGGGAGUGGUGCGCCGGAAGAGGAUGCCGAACAAGAAAGCAGUGAUGAUGAUGAGACUUGGGUCGACGAUGGGUUCCAGUACUACCUCGCGCUCCGCAAGUGGUACCCAGGCCUCCGCCCCGAGUCGGAGUUCCGCUGCUUUGUGCGGGGGCGGAAGCUGGUCGGCGUGUCGCAGAGGGACCCGUCUGCCUACUACCCUUCGCUGCCUGGGUGGAGCGCUGAGGUGCAGCCUAAGAUCGAGGAUUUCUUCGAAGAAUUCAUCGAGCCACAGUUCGCUUCAGAGAAUUAUACGUUUGAUGUGUAUGUGAGAGCCGAUGGCCGGGUGAAGCUGAUCGACUUCAAUCCUUGGGGUGGCUAUACCCUGCCGCUGCUGUUCACAUGGGAGGAGCUUGAGGAGGAGCAGAGAGGGGAGGACGAGCUGGAGUUUCGAGUGGUGAUGCAGCAGGGUGCAGUGAGGCCAGGGUUAAUGACAGCAAUUCCGUAUGAUAUGCUGGAUUGGGGGGAUGGCAGUGGGUGGGAUGUGUUUCUGAAGAAGGCUGGCAAUGAGCUCGACAGACAGAUGGCAUCAUUAGGUGUGGAUUCGUAG
rnacentral:rRNA from 1 species